AGUGAACGCUGGCGGCGUGCCUAAUACAUGCAAGUCGAACGGAGUGGCGCCCGGGUGAGUAAUGUAUAGCUAAUCUGCCCUACACUAGAGGACAACAGUUGGAAACGGCUGCUAAUACUCCAUAGUGUAGGAUGAGGCUAUAUUGUAUCAGCUAGUUGGUAAGGUACUGGCUCACCAAGGCUAUGACGGACAACUUGUCUGAGAGGAUGAGCAGUAACACUGGAACGGAGACACGGUACAGACUACUUCGGGAGGCAGCAGUAGGGAAUAUUGCUCAAUGGGGGAAACCCUGAAGCAGCAACGCCGCGUGGAGGAUGACACUUUUCGGAGCGUAAACUCCUUUUGUUAGGGAAGCGGUACCUAACGAAUAAGCACCGGCUAACUCCGUGCCAGCAGCCGCGGUAAUUC
rnacentral:rRNA from 1 species